UCCUACGGGACGCAGCAGUGGGGAAUAUUGCACAAUGGGCGAAAGCCUGAUGCAGCAACGCCGCGUGAAGGAAGAAGGCCUUCGGGUCGUAAACUUCUGUCCUUGGGGAAGAAGAACUGACGGUACCCAAGGAGGAAGCCCCGGCUAACUACGUGCCAGCAGCCGCGGUAAUACGUAGGGGGCAAGCGUUAUCCGGAAUUAUUGGGUGUAAAGGGUGCGUAGACGGAAGAACAAGUUGGUUGUGAAAUCCCUCGGCUCAACUGAGGAACUGCAACCAAAACUAUUCUCCUUGAGUGUCGGAGAGG
rnacentral:rRNA from 1 species